GACGAACGCUGGCGGCGUGCUUAACACAUGCAAGUCGAACGGAAAGGCCCUGCUUUUGUGGGGUGCUCGAGUGGCGAACGGGUGAGUAACACGUGAGUAACCUGCCCUUGACUUUGGGAUAACUUCAGGAAACUGGGGCUAAUACCGGAUAGGAGCUCCUGCUGCAUGGUGGGGGUUGGAAAGUUUCGGCGGUUGGGGAUGGACUCGCGGCUUAUCAGCUUGUUGGUGGGGUAGUGGCUUACCAAGGCUUUGACGGGUAGCCUGCCUGAGAGGGUGACCGGCCACAUUGGGACUGAGAUACGGCCCAGACUCCUACGGGAGGCAGCAGUGGGGAAUAUUGCACAAUGGGCGGAAGCCUGAUGCAGAAACGCCGCGUGCGGGAUGACGGCCUUCGGGUUGUAAACCGCUUUCGCCUGUGACGAAGCGUGAGUGACGGUAAUGGGUAAAGAAGCACCGGCUAACUACGUG
rnacentral:rRNA from 1 species